ACGGAGUUACAAAGGACGACAUUAGACGAAUCAUCUGGAAAGAUGAAUCAAAGAAGGUAAUAAUCCUGUAGUCGAAAAUGUUGUCUCUCUUGAGUGGAUCCUGAGUACGACGGAGCACGUGAAAUUCCGUCGGAAUCUGGGAGGACCAUCUCCUAAGGCUAAAUACUCUCUAGUGACCGAUAGUGAACCAGUACCGUGAGGGAAAGGUGAAAAGCACCCCGGAAGGGGAGUGAAAUAGAACCUGAAACCGUGUGCUUACAAGUAGUCAGAGCCCGUUAAUGGGUGAUGGCGUGCCUUUUGUAGAAUGAACCGGCGAGUUACGAUUUGAUGCAAGGUUAAGCAGUAAAUGUGGAGCCGUAGCGAAAGCGAGUCUGAAUAGGGCGUUUAGUAUUUGGUCGUAGACCCGAAACCAGGUGAUCUACCCUUGGUCAGGUUGAAGUUCAGGUAACACUGAAUGGAGGACCGAACCGACUUACGUUGAAAAGUGAGCGGAUGAACUGAGGGUAGCGGAGAAAUUCCAAUCGAACCUGGAGAUAGCUGGUUCUCUCCGAAAUAGCUUUAGGGCUAGCCUCAAGUGAUGAUUAUUGGAGGUAGAGCACUGUUUGGACGAGGGGCCCCUCUCGGGUUACCGAAUUCAGACAAACUCCGAAUGCCAAUUAAUUUAACUUGGGAGUCAGAACAUGGGUGAUAAGGUCCGUGUUCGAAAGGGAAACAGCCCAGACCACCAGCUAAGGUCCCAAAAUAUAUGUUAAGUGGAAAAGGAUGUGGCGUUGCCCAGACAACUAGGAUGUUGGCUUAGAAGCAGCCAUCAUUUAAAGAGUGCGUAAUAGCUCACUAGUCGAGUGACACUGCGCCGAAAAUGUACCGGGGCUAAACAUAUUACCGAAGCUGUGGAUUGUCCUUUGGACAAUGGUAGGAGAGCGUUCUAAGGGCGUUGAAGCAUGAUCGUAAGGACAUGUGGAGCGCUUAGAAGUGAGAAUGCCGGUGUGAGUAGCGAAAGACGGGUGAGAAUCCCGUCCACCGAUUGACUAAGGUUUCCAGAGGAAGGCUCGUCCGCUCUGGGUUAGUCGGGUCCUAAGCUGAGGCCGACAGGCGUAGGCGAUGGAUAACAGGUUGAUAUUCCUGUACCACCUAUAAUCGUUUUAAUCGAUGGGGGGACGCAGUAGGAUAGGCGAAGCGUGCGAUUGGAUUGCACGUCUAAGCAGUAAGGCUGAGUAUUAGGCAAAUCCGGUACUCGUUAAGGCUGAGCUGUGAUGGGGAGAAGACAUUGAGUCUUCGAGUCGUUGAUUUCACACUGCCGAGAAAAGCCUCUAGAUAGAAAAUAGGUGCCCGUACCGCAAACCGACACAGGUAGUCAAGAUGAGAAUUCUAAGGUGAGCGAGCGAACUCUCGUUAAGGAACUCGGCAAAAUGACCCCGUAACUUCGGGAGAAGGGGUGCUCUUUAGGGUUAACGCCCAGAAGAGCCGCAGUGAAUAGGCCCAAGCGACUGUUUAUCAAAAACACAGGUCUCUGCUAAACCGUAAGGUGAUGUAUAGGGGCUGACGCCUGCCCGGUGCUGGAAGGUUAAGAGGAGUGGUUAGCUUCUGCGAAGCUACGAAUCGAAGCCCCAGUAAACGGCGGCCGUAACUAUAACGGUCCUAAGGUAGCGAAAUUCCUUGUCGGGUAAGUUCCGACCCGCACGAAAGGCGUAACGAUUUGGGCACUGUCUCAACGAGAGACUCGGUGAAAUCAUAGUACCUGUGAAGAUGCAGGUUACCCGCGACAGGACGGAAAGACCCCGUGGAGCUUUACUGUAGCCUGAUAUUGAAAUUCGGCACAGCUUGUACAGGAUAGGUAGGAGCCUUUGAAACGUGAGCGCUAGCUUACGUGGAGGCGCUGGUGGGAUACUACCCUAGCUGUGUUGGCUUUCUAACCCGCACCACUUAUCGUGGUGGGAGACAGUGUCAGGCGGGCAGUUUGACUGGGGCGGUCGCCUCCUAAAAGGUAACGGAGGCGCUCAAAGGUUCCCUCAGAAUGGUUGGAAAUCAUUCAUAGAGUGUAAAGGCAUAAGGGAGCUUGACUGCGAGACCUACAAGUCGAGCAGGGUCGAAAGACGGACUUAGUGAUCCGGUGGUUCCGCAUGGAAGGGCCAUCGCUCAACGGAUAAAAGCUACCCCGGGGAUAACAGGCUUAUCUCCCCCAAGAGUUCACAUCGACGGGGAGGUUUGGCACCUCGAUGUCGGCUCAUCGCAUCCUGGGGCUGUAGUCGGUCCCAAGGGUUGGGCUGUUCGCCCAUUAAAGCGGUACGCGAGCUGGGUUCAGAACGUCGUGAGACAGUUCGGUCCCUAUCCGUCGUGGGCGUAGGAAAUUUGAGAGGAGCUGUCCUUAGUACGAGAGGACCGGGAUGGACAUACCUCUGGUGUACCAGUUGUCGUGCCAACGGCAUAGCUGGGUAGCUAUGUGUGGACGGGAUAAGUGCUGAAAGCAUCUAAGCAUGAAGCCCCCCUCAAGAUGAGAUUUCCCAACUUCGGUUAUAAGAUCCCUCAAAGAUGAUGAGGUUAAUAGGUUCGAGGUGGAAGCAUGGUGACAUGUGGAGCUGACGAAUACUAAUCGAUCGAAGACUUAAUCAA
rnacentral:rRNA from 2 species